AGACUGAGGAUAAUACUGGAUAGGCAAUUAUUUCUGCAAUGGCUUUUUGUUUAAAUGUUUUUUCGCCUAAGGAUGGGUCUGCGGCCGAUUAGGUAGUUGGUUAGGUAAAGGCUUACCAAGCCGUUGAUCGGUACGGGUUGUGAGAGCAAGAGCCCGGAGAUGGAACCUGAGACAAGGUUCCAGGCCCUACGGGGUGCAGCAGGCGCGAAACCUCCGCAAUGUGAGAAAUCGCGACGGGGGGAUCCCAAGUGCCAUUCUUAACGGGAUGGCUUUUCAUUAGUGUAAAGAGCUUUUGGAAUAAGGGCUGGGCAAGACCGGUGCCAGCCGCCGCGGUAACACCGGCAGCUCUAGUGGUAGCAGUUUUUAUUGGGCCUAAAGCGUCCGUAGCCGGUUUAAUAAGUCUCUGGUGAAAUCCUGUAGCUUAACUGUGGGAAUUGCUGGAGAUACUAUUAGACUUGAGACCGGGAGAGGUUAGAGGUACUCCCAGGGUAGAGGUGAAAUUCUGUAAUCCUG
rnacentral:rRNA from 1 species